UACAGAGGUCUCAAGCGUUGUUCGGAUUCAUUGGGCGUAAAGGGUGCGUAGGCGGCGCGGUAAGUCGGGUGUGAAAUCUUGGAGCUUAACUCCGAAACUGCAUUCGAUACUGCCGUGCUUGAGGACUGGAGAGGAGACUGGAAUUUACGGUGUAGCGGUGAAAUGCGUAGAUAUCGUAAGGAAGACCAGUGGCGAAGGCGAGUCUCUGGACAGUUACUGACGCUCAGGCACGAAAAGCGUGGGGGAGCAAACAGG
rnacentral:rRNA from 1 species